AAGUCGUAACAAGGUUUCCGUAGGUGAACCUGCGGAAGGAUCAUUAUUGAAAUAAACCUGAUGGGUUGUUGCUGGCUCUCUAGGGAGCAUGUGCACGCCUUGUCAUCUUUAUAUCUCCACCUGUGCACUUUUUGUAGGCCUUCCAGGUCUAUGUUGCUUUUUCAUUUACCCCAAUGUAUGUUAAUAGAAUGUUGUGACUAUAAAAUCUAUACAACUUUCAGCAACGGAUCUCUUGGCUCUC
rnacentral:misc_RNA from 1 species